GCAAAGAAUAAGUGAGAUAUGGUGGGACACGUGUGCCUAAUUGAAAUUCCUUGAAAAUGGCGUUUAUUCAUAGCAAGAUCAGUCGUCAUUCGAGAUAAAUUAUCCAUGCAAAAAAAAAAAAAAAAAAAGAUAUGGUGAGAGAGUGUCUCCCUGUCGUAGUUCACAACAUGGAAUAAAAGAAGUCUUAGCACUAUCAUAAGCUUUAUUCAUAUUAAGUUCUAAUCCAUUGAUGAUAGUUCAAUAUGAGACUAUAGAAAUGCGUUGCCGGAAUGAUUGGACCCAAUGAGCAAGUAAUCCAUAGGCCAUUAGAAUUUUCAAAAUAAACAACCAGCUGACACGAUUAUAAUCUUUAUUCAUAUUAAGUUUUAGAGCCGCCAAAUGGCGAGACUCGAUUGGUCUUUGUUAAUCAUAUACGUAAGCUCAUGAGAGAUAAGAAUAUUAUCAUCCAUAUGUCGCCUCAAUACAAAUGCAUUAUGAUAAUCUUCUAGUAUAGAGGGGAUGAAGAGCUUCUACGAUUGGCCAUACACUUUGAUAUAUGCACAUUUAUAAACAACUUAGCAAAAACUAAUUGGUCGUAGAUGAUUUACCUCUUCUUGGGGAUGGACUUUAUGUAAUAUCCCAAAAACUUGUAUUUAUGCUUAAUGAACUUUAAUAAUAAGAGGCAAAAAUUAUUUUAUUUUGUGAUUGGGCAACAAAUAAAUUAUUAAAUUAGAUAAAUUUAAAAAUUGCCGGGAUCAGCUUUGCUUCGCCUGAAACAGUCACCCAAAUAACCCCCUAAACCCUCUGUUUUUUUGGUACUACCUUCUCUCUCCUCUGUUUUCGGGCUGCUGCCCGGACCAACGACCACCCCUGCCACCCUUGGAACCACCGCAGCACCACUCUCCGUCUUGAGUCUUUUCACGCCUCCACCUGCCGCGUCAAUCCCCGACUACCGGUGCACCACCGUGCGCCACUCUCCUGCAAACCUCCCUGUCUCGCGUUCCUUGCGUCCUGCUCUCGCUGCACCACCAAGUUGCAGCAGCAGUUCUGUCGCCCUCCCUGCCGUCGCGCCACCGCCUCGCCGCCUGCUUGCCCACGCCUCCCCAAUCCGCUAUAUUUCUCCAAGUCAGGAGAUAGCCUGUUGAGAAAAACUAUUGCACCGGUUGGACCACGAAAGCCCAGGAGCGGCCAAUUGUUCUUAAAGAAUUCGACCGAGAAGCCAUCCAAGCCCAAGAACUUGUCAUUGGCAAUGUCGAACAUGGCUUGCUGGAUUCCUUGAGUUGAGUCGGGGUAAGCAGAGAUGUUUUAUGGUCUUCUGUGAUGGUGGGCAAGUGGAGCUCUCGUAGGACCGGUUAAUAUCUUCCUCAUGGUGUCGUACAUCCGGAAAGACCGACAAUUCUGGAGAAUAAUUAGUUUUGAAGUGUUCGAAAAACAUGCAUGGUCGUUAUCCUGCUGGUUGUCAAUCCAAUUCCCAGAAGCAUCGUCAAGCAUGUAAAUAUAAUUUCAUUGUUGUCGUAAACGGAACUUGUGGAAAAGAUAAUUAGAAGGAAGAUCGACAAGGUUAAUAUA